GGGGAAGAAGAAGCGCUUAGCAGGGGAGAAGAACCAAGGAGCAAUGGAGUCAUACAUUAAUUUAUCUAAAGGAAGUCCCGCCUACUUGCCCAGUGAUUGGCUCCUUUAUUCAUUAGAUUGGUUCAGAAGAACAGUACCAGGCCCAUCUACAAAAGGUGUGGCCAUUUUGAAAGUUCCUGCAGAACACUGCUCAGGGACUGCAUGGUGCCGCCUAUGAAGACCCCAGAAGAGAGCAUCAGAUUCCUAGGAAGAACACCCAGUGCUUCUAACUGCUGAGCCAUCUCUCCAGCCCUAAGCCCACACUGUUUUGAUCUUAGCGUUUAAAACUUCUGUACCUGAACUUUCUUGCACAAUAGUUUUUGCAUUGUCAAUUUGUACGGGACAUCUGACUCAGACAAAAACUUUUGGGCAAAACUGGUGCAAUGUUUCUCUUACUGCGAGUGUAUUUGCUCUCAGAGCAUUUUCUUCUUUGACAUUUCUUCGGUACACUUCAGUCUUAAUUUUAAAAAUAAAUUCAGAAACGCUUGGAUUCCUUAGGAUUCUAAAAUGGCAAGUGAUGCAAAGUAUAAAGGAGAAAACAUGUUAAAAGCAUAAUCAGUGAAAAAUACACACAUCUUUCUGGGGUAAGAAAUGCCUUUGGGGGAAAAAGAGGCUAAAGGAGCAAACAACCCACAGCUGGGAAAGGAAGAGGCGCCUUCGUUCAAAACAGUGCACAGAAUAAAUCUUAGUUUUCCAAGGCUUAAAGGUGAUAGAUUUCUUGCUUAAAAGAAACAUUGUACGUUUAUCAAGGAAAAACCACUCAGUUGGUCACUGAAAUCCAUUCCAGGUUGUGUUG